CCUCGCGGCGAGAUGAGCUAAUCCCUUCACACGCGCCCCGAAAGUGCCGCGGUCCCGUCGUCCCCCCUAACACGCGGCCCGCGGGCCGGAGUCACGUCUCUUUCAAGUCCCGGAGCCCCGAUCUCUGACAGGUCCCAGGAGUCCUAAAGAACAAUGUCGCGUCCGCGGAGCAGGAAAGCGCGCGGCGUGAGGCGGCGGGCGACUCCGGGGAGGCGGCUCUGUGUGAGAGUGCAAAGGAGAAGCUCGGUCACCCUCCUCCCUCGUCUCCUCCUCUCCUUCCUCCUCCUCCUCCCUCGCCUCCACCGCCUCCUCCUCCGUCUCCUCCUCCUCCCGCAAGCACACCCCGUCUCCUAGGCCGCAGCAUAGCAACCGAACAUGGCGGCUGCGCAGCCGCCGGCCAGUCAGAGGCCCGGAACGGCGGCCUCAGCAACAGGAGGCGGUCUCGCGAGAGGGGUUGAGGAAAGAGCACUUGCCUAGUAUACGCACAAGGCCCUGGGUUCCAUCCCCAGCACCCAGUACCCAGCACCCACAUGCUGCAAAGCUUAUCUUUUCUCCAUGUCAACAAAAUGACUUUACCAAUCAGGAAAAUGUGUGCAAAACGUCGGAAAACAGCACUCUGCUCCUACUUUUUCUUGUCCAACUGGUGAUGAGCAUUAGGACACUUGGAAAGCUGAGGCAAGAAGAUCAGGAGUUCAAGAACAUCAUUAGCUAGACAAGGAACUUCCUGAAGGGAGCCUCCGCAGUGGAAGUCACCUAGAUGGGCCUUUUGAAGUUACCAAUACUUACAAGCAUUCCUAGAGAAUUCUAGGUUCAUCUUAAAACUGCCUUCCUGCAGCCCUGGAAAAGAAGGAGCAAGUAAUUGUCAAAGAGAUGAAAAAGAAAAGGAGGAGAACGGAGUUGCUUUACAGGCUGUGUGCUCAGUCAGUAGAGCGCUUGCCUUACGUUCAUGAAACCCUGGGUUUGAUCCUCAGCAGCAAAAAAAAAAAAAAAAAACCGAAACAAAACAGAACCAAAA